rnacentral:lncRNA from 1 species
GAGUCCGGCGGACGAAGUUGGCCAGCAUCACCCCCCAAGGCUAUAGCCCACCCGUUUUUGUGGCCUUUUUCCGUUGGACGAACUUGGCGCCCCGGCCUUCGGGCAGUUAAUUUUGGUAGCGGCUUUGCCCACGGCCUAUUUUUGGCAUACGGAGGCCCCUCACAAAGUCUCGCGGCAUUCCGAGUCCGGCGGACGAAGUUGGGCAGCCCCACCCCCCAAGGCUAUAGCCCACCCAUUUUUGUGGCCUUUUUCCGCUGGACAAACUUGGCGCCCCAGCCUUCGGGCGGUUAAUUUUGGGCGCGGCUUUGCCCGCGGCCUAUUUUUCGUACACGGAGGCCCCUCGCAAAGUCUCGCGGCAUUCCUAGUGCGGCGGACGAAGUUGGCCAGCCCCACCCCCUAGGCUAUAGCCCACCUGUUUUUGUGGCCUUUUUCCGCUGGACAAACUUGGCGCCCCAGCCUUCGGGCGGUUAAUUUUGGGCGCGGCUUUGCCCGCGGCCUAUUUUUCGUACACGGAGGCCCCUCGCAAAGUCUCGCGGCAUUCCUAGUGCGGCGGACGAAGUUGGCCAGCCCCACCCCCUAGGCUAUAGCCCACCUGUUUUUGUGGCCUUUUUCCGCUGGACGAACUUGGCGACCCGGCCUUCGGGCAGUUAAUUUUGGGCGUGGCUGUGCCCGCGGCCUAUUUUUGGCACACGGAGGCCCCUCACAAAGUCUCGCGGCAUUCCGAGUCCGGCGGACGAAGUUGGCCAGCCCCACCCCCCAAGGCUAUAGCCCACCCGUUUUUGUGGCCUUUUUCCGCUGCACGAACUUGGCGCCCCGGCCUUCGGACGGUUAUUUAUGGGUGCGGGUUUCCCUACGGCCUAUUUUUGGCACACGGAGGCUCCUUGCAAAGUCUCGCGGCAUUCCGAGUCCGGCGGACGAAGUGGGCCAGCCCCACCCCCCAAGGCUAUAGCCCACCCGUUUUUGUGGCCAUUUUCCGCUGGGAGAACUUGGCGCCCCGGCCUUCGAGCGGUUAUUUUUGUGUGCAGCUUUGCCUGUGGCCUAUUUUUGGCAAAUGGAGGCCCCUCGCAAAGUCUCGCGGCAUUCCGAGUCCGGCGGACGAAGUUGGCCAGCAUCACCCCCCAAGGCUAUAGCCCACCCGUUUUUGUGGCCUUUUUCCGUUGGACGAACUUGGCGCCCCGGCCUUCGGGCAGUUAAUUUUGGUAGCGGCUUUGCCCACGGCCUAUUUUUGGCAUACGGAGGCCCCUCACAAAGUCUCGCGGCAUUCCGAGUCCGGCGGACGAAGUUGGGCAGCCCCACCCCCCAAGGCUAUAGCCCACCCAUUUUUGUGGCCUUUUUCCGCUGGACAAACUUGGCGCCCCAGCCUUCGGGCGGUUAAUUUUGGGCGCGGCUUUGCCCGCGGCCUAUUUUUCAUACACGGAGGCCCCUCGCAAAGUCUCGCGGCAUUCCUAGUGCGGCGGACGAAGUUGGCCAGCCCCACCCCCUAGGCUAUAGCCCACCUGUUUUUGUGGCCUUUUUCCGCUGGACGAACUUGGCGACCCGGCCUUCGGGCAGUUAAUUUUGGACGUGGCUGUGCCCGCGGCCUAUUUUUGGCACACGGAGGUGCCUCGUAAAGUCUCGCGCCAUUCCGAGUCCGGCGGACGAAGUUGGCCAGCCCCACCACCCAAGGCUAUAACCCACCCGUUUUUGUGGCCUUUUUCCGCUGGAAGAACUUGGCGCCCCAGCCUUCGGGCGGUUAUUUUUGGGCGUGGCUUUGCCCGUGGCCUAUUUUUGGCACGCGGAGGCCCCUCGCAAUGUCUCGCGGCAUUCCGAGUCCGGCGGACGAUGUUGGCCAGCCCCACCCCCCAAGGCUAUUGCCCACCCGUUUUUGUGGCCUUUUUCCGCUGGACAAACUUGGCCACGCGGAAUGCGGGCAGUUAUUUUUGGACGCGGCUUUGCGCGCGGCCUAUUUUUGGCACACGGAGGCCCCUCCCAAAGUCUCGUGUCAUUCCGAUUCCGGCGGACGAAGUUGGGCAGCCCCACCCCCAAAGGCUCUAGCCCACCUGUUUUUGUGGCCUUUUUCCGCAGGACGAACUUGGCACACCGGCCUUCGGGCAGUUAUUUUUGGGAGUGGCUUUGCCCGCGGCCUAUUUUUGGCACACGGAGGCCCCUCGCAAAGUCUCGCGGCAUUCCGAGUCCGGCGGACGAAGUUCGCCAACCCCACCCCCCAAGGCUAUAGCCCACCCAUUUUUGUGGCCUUGUUCCGUUGGACGAACUUGGCGCCCCGCCCUUCGGGCGGUUAUUUUUGGACGCGGCUUGGGCCGCGGCCGAGUUUUGGCACACGGAGGCCCAUCGGAAUGUCUCGCGGCAUUCCGAGUCCGGCGGACGAAGUUGGCCAGCCCCACCCCCAAGGCUAUACCCCACCCGUUUUUGUGGCCUUUUCCGCUGGACGAACUUGGCGCCCCGGCCUUCCGGCGGUUAAUUUUGGGCGCGGCUUUGCCCGCGGCCUAUUUUUGGCAGACAGAGGCCCCUCGCAAAGUCUCGCGGCAUUCCGAGUCCGGCGGACGAAGUUGGCCAGCCCCACACCCCAAGGCUAUAGCCCACCCGUUUUUGUGGCCUUUUUCCGCUGGACGAACUUGGCGCCCCGGCGUUCGGGCAGUUAAUUUUGGGCGCGGCUUUGCCCGCGGCCUAUUUUUGGCACACGGAGACCCCUCGCAAAGUCUCGCGGCAUUCCGAGUCCGGCGGACGAAGUUGGCCAGCCCCACCCCCCAAGGCUAUAGCCCACCCGUUUUUGUGGCCAUUUUCCGCUGGACGAAGUUGGCGCCCCGGCCGUCGGGCGGUUAUUUUUGGGCGCGGGUUUGGCCGCGGCCUAUUUCUGGCUUACGGGGGGCCCUCGCAAAGUCUCGCGGAAUUCCGAGUCCGGCGGACGAAGUUGGCCAGCCCCACCCCCCAAGGCUAUAGCCCACCCAUUUUUGUGGCCUUUUUCCGCUGGACGAACUUGGCGCCCCAGCCUUCGGGCGGUUAAUUUUGGGCGCGGCUUUGCCCGCGGCCUAUUUUUGGUACACGGAGACCCCUCGCAAAGUCUCGCGGCAUUCCUAGUCCGGCGGACGAAGUUGGCCAGCCCCACCCCCCUAGGCUAUAGCCCACCUGUUUUUGUAGCCUUUUUCCGCUGGACGAACUUGGCGACCCGGCCUUCGGGCAGUUAAUUUUGGACGCGGCUUUGCCGGCAGCCUAUUUUCAGCACACGGAGGUGCCUCGCAAAGUCUCGCGCCAUUCCGAGUCCGGCGGACGAAGUUGGCCAGCCCACCCCCCAAGGCUAUAGCCCACCCGUUUUUGUGGCCUUUUUCCGCUGGACGAACUUGGCGCCCCGGCCUUCGGGUGGUUUUUUUUGGGCGCGGCUGUGCGCGCUGCCUAUUUUUGGUACACGGAGACCGCUCGCAAGGUCUCGCGCCAUUCCGAGUCCGGCGGACGAAAUUGGCCAGCCCCACCCCCCAUGGCUAUAGCCCACCCGUUUUUGUGGCCUUUUUACGCUGGACGAACGUGGCACCCCGGCCUUCGGGCUGUUAUUUUUGGGUACGGCUGUGCCCGCGGCCUAUUUUUGGCACACGGAGGCCGCUUGCAAAGUAUCGCGCCAUUCCUAGUCCGGCGGACGAUGUUGGCCAGCCCCACCCCCCAAGGCUAUAGCCCACCCGUUUUUGUGGCCUUUUUCCGCUGGACGAACUUCGCACCCCGGCCUUCGGGCGUUUAUUUUAGGGUACGGCUGUGCCUGCGGCCUAUUUUUGGCACAUGAAGGCCGCUCACAAAGUCUCGCCCCAUUCCGAGUCCGGCGGACGAAGUUGGCCAGCACCACCCCCCAAGGCUAUAGCCCACCCGUUUUUGUGGCCUAUUUCCGCUGGACGAACUUGGCGCCCCGGCCUUCGGGUGGUUUUUUUUGGGCGCGGCUGUGUCCGCGUCCUAUUUUUGGCACAAGGAGUCCACUCGCAAAGUCUCGCGCCAUUCCGAGUCCGGCGGACGAAGUUGGCCAGCCCCACCCCCCAAGGCUAUUGCCCACCCGUUUUUGUGGCCUUUUUCCGCUGGACGAACUUGGCGCCCCGGCCGUCGGGUGGUUUUUUUUGGGCGCGGCUGUGCCCGCUGCCUAUUUUUGGCACACGGAGGCCGCUCGCAAGGUCUCGCGCCAUUUCGAGUCCGGCGGACGAAGUUGGCCAGCCCCACCCCCAUUUUGCUAUAGCCCACCCGUUUUUGUGGCCUUUUUACGCUGGACGAACGUGGUACCCCGGCCUUCGGGCGGUUAUUUUUGGGCGCGGCUGUGCCUGCUGCCUAUUUUUGGUACACGGAGGCCGAUCGCAAGGUCUCGCGCCAUUCCGAGUCCGGCGGACGAAGUUUGCCAGCCCCACCNNNNNNNNNNNNNNNNNNNNNNNNNNNNNNNNNNNNNNNNNNNNNNNNNNNNNNNNNNNNNNNNNNNNNNNNNNNNNNNNNNNNNNNNNNNNNNNNNNNNNNNNNNNNNNNNNNNNNNNNNNNNNNNNNNNNNNNNNNNNNNNNNNNNNNNNNNNNNNNNNNNNNNNNNNNNNNNNNNNNNNNCCAAGGCUAUAGCCCACCCGUUUUUGUGGCCUUUUUCCGCUGGACGAACUUGGCGCCCCGGCCUUCGGGUGGUUAUUUUUGGACGCGGCUGUGCCCACGGCUUAUUUUUGGCACACGAAGGCCGCUCGCAAAGUGUCGCCCCAUUCCGAGUCCGGCGGACGAAGUGGGCCAGCCACACCCCCCAAGGCUAUAGCCCACCCGUUUUUGUGGCCUUUUUCCGCUGGACGAACUUGGCGCCCCGGCCUUCAGGUGGUUUUUUUUGGGCGCGGCUGUACCGGCAUCCUAUUUUCGGCACACGGAGUCCACUCACAAAGUCUCUCACCAUUCCGAGUCCGGCGGACGAAGUUGGCCAGCCCCACCCCCCAAGGCUACAGCCCACCCGUUUUUGUGGCCUUUUUACGCUGGACGAAUGUGGCACCCCGGCCUUCGGGCGGUUAUUUUUGGGCACAGCUGUGCCCGUGGCCUAUUUUUGGGACAUGGAGGCCGCUGGCAAAGUCUCGCGCCAUUCCGAGUCCGGCGGACGAAGUUGGCCAGCCCCACCCCCCAAGGCUAUAGCCCACCCGUUUUUGUGGCCUUUUUACGCUGGACGAAUGUGGCACCCCGGCCUUCGGGCGGUUAUUUUUGGGCACAGCUGUGCCCGUGGCCUAUUUUUGGGACAUGGAGGCCGCUCGCAAAGUCUCGCGCCAUUCCGAGUCCGGCGGACGAAGUUGGCCAGCCCUACCCCCCAAGGCUAUAGCCCACCCGUUUUUGUGGCCUUCUUCCGCUGGACGAACUUGGCGCCCCGACCUUCCGCCGGUUAUUUUUGCGUGUGGCUGUGCCCGCGGCCUAUUUUUGGCACACGUAGGCUGAUCGCAAAGUCUUGCGCCAUUCCGAGUCCGGCGGACGAAGUUGGCCAGCCCCACCCCCCAAGGCUACAGCCCACCCGUUUUUGUGGCCUUUUUACGCUGGACGAAUGUGGCACCCCGGCCUUCGGGCGGUUAUUUUUGGGCACGGCUGUGCCCGCGGCCAAUUUUUGGCACACGGAGGCCGCUUACAAAGUCUCGCGCC